GACGAACGCUGGCGGCGUGCUUAACACAUGCAAGUCGAACGGAAAGGCCCUGCUUGCAGGGUACUCGAGUGGCGAACGGGUGAGUAACACGUGGGUGAUCUGCCCUGCACUUCGGGAUAAGCCUGGGAAACUGGGUCUAAUACCGGAUAGGAGCCAUUUUUAGUGUGAUGGUUGGAAAGUUUUUUCGGUGUAGGAUGAGCUCGCGGCCUAUCAGCUUGUUGGUGGGGUAAUGGCCUACCAAGGCGGCGACGGGUAGCCGGCCUGGGAGGGUGGACGGCCACAUUGGGACUGAGAUACGGCCCAGACUCCUACGGGAGGCAGCAGUGGGGAAUAUUGCACAAUGGGCGCAAGCCUGAUGCAGCGACGCCGCGUGGGUGAUGACGGCCUUCGGGUUGUAAACUCCUUUCGCUAGGGACGAAGCUUUUUGUGACGGUACCUAGAUAAGAAGCACCGGCUAACUACGUG
rnacentral:rRNA from 1 species